UAUCCUCUCUGCCUAAGCACUGAGACUGUAUAUAAACAAUAUAUUGCGUGUAUGUAUAUGAGCAUUCCAUUUGUACGUUCUACAUAGAGAUGGCAAUUUCAAUCCGCUUCACCGAUAUCCACCCAAAUUCACCCCACAUGGAUCGAGUUUUU